rnacentral:rRNA from 1 species
UGCAGAGAACUUUCCAGAGAUGGAUUGGUGCCUUCGGGAACUCUGACACAGGUGCUGCAUGGCUGUCGUCAGCUCGUGUCGCGAGAUGUUGGGUUAAGUCCCGUAACGAGCGCAACCCUUGUCCUUAGUUACCAGCACGUUAUGGUGGGCACUCUAAGGAGACUGCCGGUGACAAACCGGAGGAAGGUGGGGAUGACGUCAAGUCAUCAUGGCCCUUACGGCCUGGGCUACACACGUGCUACAAUGGUCGGUACAAAGGGUUGCCAAGCCGCGAGGUGGAGCUAAUCCCAUAAAACCGAUCGUAGUCCGGAUCGCAGUCUGCAACUCGACUGCGUGAAGUCGGAAUCGCUAGUAAUCGUGAAUCAGAAUGUCACGGUGAAUACGUUCCCGGGCCUU